rnacentral:rRNA from 1 species
UACGUAGGGUCCGAGCGUUGUCCGGAAUUAUUGGGCGUAAAGAGCUCGUAGGCGGUUUGUUGCGUCGGCUGUGAAAACCUGAGGCUCAACCUCAGGCCUGCAGUCGAUACGAGCAGACUAGAGUGUUGCAGGGGAGACUGGAAUUCCUGGUGUAGCGGUGAAAUGCACAGAUAUCAGGAGGAACACCGGUGGCGAAGGCGGGUCUCUGGGCAACAACUGACGCUGAGGAGCGAAAGCGUGGGGAGCGAACAGG